CAAAUACAAAUAUUAUGUACAACUGGGAGAAAGGGUUAACUAAGCACUCCAGUGGCCAACCACAGCAUCUCACAGCCCACAAAGAAAACAAAAUACAUGUAAACCAGGGGUUACCAACCCAAUCCUCAAGUACCCCCUACCAGUCAAGGAUUUAGGUAUUACCCUGUUAUGUCUCAACUAUUUUUUCUUUUUUUUUUCUAAAAACACCUUAGAUACAACUGGGUAAUCAGGACUGGUGCAACCGUUAGGCGAACUAGGCAUCCACUGAGAUAUUUCCUGUUUGGCUCCCCCUGUCUGGGGCUGCAGAGCUGGGCGAGCGGCUCUUGCGCUGCCCCCUGCACUGAGCUGAUCCUCAAGGCUCCCGUAGGUGGGGGCAUCGAGAGGAGUCUGUCAGUGAGUGAAUGUAUGUAUGUCAGUGAGUGUGUGAAUGUGUGUCAGUGAGUGGGUGUAUGUCUGUCAUUGAGUGUGUCUGUGUGUCUGUUUGUGAGUGUGAAUGUCUGCCAGUGUGUGUCUGUCAGUGAGUGAGUGACAUGAGGGGGCGGCAAAAUGGAUCUUUGCCUAGGGCGUCAUAAAUCCUUGCAUCCUUGUGGGUAAUCCCUAAAUUCUGGACUGGUAGGGGUUAAUUGAGGACUGGGUUGGGAACCACUGAUGUAAACAAUCAGAGCAACAUCUUUGUCGGUGAAGAAAAAGAAUCUCCAAGAGAGAAAAUCCUGAACUCCAACUGAAGAUCCCAAUUGGAAAAAAAAACACUCCACUCACGAAUGGAUGAGCUCCCACGCUGAAAAAAGAGAGAAGAAUUUGGGUAAAAGUGUCCCAGAAAUGUAAAAAGUAAUACAAUAAAAUGUUAAACAUAAUUCCAAUAAUAUUGAUAAAAUAUAUCAUCAACAUACAUUACAGAGGCUGAAAAGAGACGUGCACAUCAAGUUCAGUCUUUCUUACAUCUGUUUUUGCUGUUGAC